ensembl:snoRNA SNORA70 Small nucleolar RNA SNORA70
CUGCAGUUUAUUAAGCCGACUGAUCCUGCUGCAGUGCAGUUCCAGUGUGCAAAGGCUGCAGACAGUGACUCUGUGGUUGUGUAUGUCCUCAGCUGGGUGGUGCUGAGUGCUUUAAGGGACCACUGAGACAAAG